rnacentral:rRNA from 1 species
AAACGAUGCCAACUAGCGAUCCGCCGGUGGAUUUUUAGCCCUGGUGGGUAGCUUCCCGGAAACGAAAGUCUUCCGGUUCCGGGGGAAGUAUGGUUGCAAAGCUGAAACUUAAAGGAAUUGACGGAAGGGCACCACCAGGAGUGGAGCCUGCGGCUUAAUUUGACUCAACACGGGGAAACUCACCCGGCCCGGACACCGUAAGGAUUGACAGAUUGAUAGCUCUUUCAUGAUUCGGUGGUUGGUGGUGCAUGGCCGUUCUUAGUUCGUGGAUCGAUUUGUCUGGUUUAUUCCGAUAACGAGCGAGACUCUAGCCUACUAAAUAGUAACGAGAUUAUCAAUGUCUCAGUUGCUUCUUAGAGGGAUUUUCGGUGUUUAGCCGCACGAGAUUGAGCAAUAACAGGUCUGUGAUGCCCUUAGAUGUCCGGGGCUGCACGCGCGCUACACUGGCGAAAUCAGCGUGCUGUAUCCAUUCUCGAAAGGGAUUGGUAAACCCAUGAAAAUUUGCCGUGCUUGGGAUCGGAAAUUGCAAUUAUUUUCCGUGAACGAGGAAUUCCAAGUAAGUGCGAGUCAUCAACUCGCUCUG